rnacentral:misc_RNA from 1 species
GCGCUCGCGCGGCACCUUUGGUGUUGUUUGCGUGAGCGGCACGAGCCGCGACGGCCAGUUAAACCAGCCAGUUUGAAGUGAGAUUGGCGGCCAUUGAGGCUCGGCCUCGAAGCUGAUCGCCAUCUGCGCUUGGGCAAGGGCUUGUAGCUCAGUUGGUUAGAGCGCGCGCUUGAUAAGCGUGAGGUCGGAGGUUCAAGUCCUCCCAGGCCCACCACUUUCCUUUUGAUAGGUAUCAGGGGCCGUAACUCAGCUGGGAGAGCGCCUGCUUUGCAAGCAGGAUGUCGUCGGUUCGAUCCCGUCCGGCUCCACCAACCUUCCUUGGUUGGCUGUCGAGAGGAUGUGGCAAGCGUCAGAAAAUCAUUCAAAACCAAGAUUUGUGGUUCGCUCCUCGGAGCUGCCGCUUGUUCUGUUUGACAUUGUAAAGAGAAGAUUUGUUCGGACUCCGUCGUCGGAGUGUGAGCUUGCAAGAUGAUGCUGCCAUGCCUUGUUGAAAGAGUUUGCGCGGUGAUGAUGAUGGUUUGUCGCGGUGAGACGCUCAAUCUCCCGCAUAUGAUGGGCUUGCCUAACCGCUGCCCCCGGACCGAUCUCGAGAAGCUGGUCUUUUUGUGCCAAU